AAGUCGUAACAAGGUUUCCGUAGGUGAACCUGCGGAAGGAUCAUUAACACGAAUUUUAUCCAAUAUCAAAACUAAACGUGAACUUCUCCCCUCCCUAUAUCAAAUCCCUUUCAUAGGAGCUUGAUUUAGGCUAACCUUUUUAUUAAUUUUCAACCCCUUUAAUUUUAUAACGUCUCUGGCUAACGCCGUGACUAACUAACUAAAAAUUUUACUUAAGAUGCCAACAUGUAUUUUGUUGUGUCUUAAUUAAUAUUUUUUCUUUACGAAAUAAAUAUUAGUAUGAUAAGAACAACUCUUAGCAAUGGAUAUCUUGGUUCUC
rnacentral:misc_RNA from 1 species